GAUGAACGCUGGCGGCGUGCUUAACACAUGCAAGUCGAACGGAAAGGCCCAAGCUUGCUUGGGUACUCGAGUGGCGAACGGGUGAGUAACACGUGGGUGAUCUGCCCUGCACUUCGGGAUAAGCCUGGGAAACUGGGUCUAAUACCGGAUAGGACGAUGGUUUGGAUGCCAUUGUGGAAAGUUUUUUCGGUGUGGGAUGAGCUCGCGGCCUAUCAGCUUGUUGGUGGGGUAAUGGCCUACCAAGGCGUCGACGGGUAGCCGGCCUGAGAGGGUGUACGGCCACAUCGGGACUGAGAUACGGCCCAGACUCCUACGGGAGGCAGCAGUGGGGAAUAUUGCACAAUGGGCGCAAGCCUGAUGCAGCGACGCCGCGUGGGGGAUGACGGCCUUCGGGUUGUAAACUCCCUUCGCUAGGGACGAAGCGUUUUUGUGACGGUACCUGGAGAAGAAGCACCGGCUAACUACGUG
rnacentral:rRNA from 1 species